AAAGAAAAAACCAUCAGAGGAAAACAGACACAGGUUUAAGAAACCAGCGAUGACCCGGAGUUUUCUGUAGGGAAUUUCCCGAAGACUGCUCUGUUUCGCUGGAUCCUGGUCACCUACCUCAGCAGUAGGGCGACAGGUGUCCUUAUAAGGGCCCACAGAGAAGACACAGAAGAGGGGAGAAAGGAAAAUGGCCGCAGAGGAAGAGACUGGGUACACACACCCACAAGCCAAAGGACAUCUGGAGGCACCAGAACCUGGAAGGCACAAAGAAAGAUUUCCCUAAAGCUGAGGCUCUGAGCUUCCCCUUCAGAAGGAGGAUGUGUACAGGUGUGAAUGGAAUGUACGAAAUGCCAAAAUAAGUAGAGAUCAACAGGUUGUAUUAACAGUACCAAAGUCAACCCUUAUCAAGCCCUUACUACUUGCCCUGUGUUAUUGCCAAUGCUCUAAAUGUACUUGCCUAACAAAACACCCAGGAGGCAGGGAAUGCUGUUAAAACACUGGGGCACGGAGAGAGCGUCAGCAACUUGUCCCAGGUUACAUAGCUAGAAAGUGAGAGCUGGGAUUCAAUCCCAGGUAAUCUGGCUCCAGAAAGCCUGUUGGGGACGAAGAAUUUCCUCUGCCUUUCAAGAUCCUUCUAGCUGGACUAAAUCCAAUUGACAUAAAACAGAUUAGUAGGAGAGAGUCAGAUUUCAGGGCUACGCAUGGGGAAUCCACUUGACCAUGACAAUUGCAAAGACAGUGGGGCAACAGGACCCUUAUAGGAGCUACAGAGGGGGGUGGGGGUCUGAAGCUACAAAGGGAGGAAGACCAUUAGCAGGAAGGUAGGAGAUGUUUGUUAAACAAAGGUUGCCCUCUCAUGCAGAUACAUUUCUUGUGUAAACAGGAAUUUCUGUUAAUAGCUCUCUUCCUGGUCCAAGCUGCGCCCUGGAGGGGGAAGUGAAGAGCUGUUCUUGAAUCUGCUGGGUUUUAAUUGGCAUGAACAUUUCUUUGCAUUAAAAGCAAAGCGGCCCAUCCUGGGGCAGUCUGCCCUGGGCCCCUACAACCCGCACUCCUAGCCUCUAGCUCAGAUUAUCACUAAUGAUUAGCACUCUGUUGUGGACAUUCAGCUGGUGCCUUGGAGCUAACUUAUUUCAUUUACUACGGAACAAGGAAUUCUCAAGGUGAUUAUUCCCAAUUAUCAUUUCCAUGGAAUGUGUCAAGAAACAGAAAGAUUGAACAACUUGCCCAAGUCUCAUCACUAAUUGGUGUUAGGACUGGAACUGGGACAUUGACUUGGUUCCUAACUCCCUCCUCUCUUGUGUUCUUAGAUAUUGAUAAUUGUUGAAGCUGAUCCAAAGGGUUUAUUUUACUAUUUACUCUAUUUCUGUGUAUUUGAAAGUUGCCUUUAAAACAACCCCAAAACCCCAAACCCCAACUACGCCCUUCGUCACGGUGUUGUCCCAACCCUGCAGGUUCCUGUGUGUUUCCUUGAUGGUUGGGAAGGGGAAGGGAGAAGAGGUUGGAUUUGGGUCAGCAAAAUUUCCCAAACUUUUCAACCGUAAACCAAUUACUUUUUCUCCUUCUCCUCCCUCUUUUUCUUCUACGAGACGGGAUUCUCACUUUCUGGGAGGAUGCUCAGCUGUCUGAGACUUGCCUCCUGGUGGCUCUUGUCCUGGGCUUGGUAUCAACAGGAAGUUGGAGACGUGGUGGAGAUGGGUCCCAGGCAGUGAGAAGUGCUCACAAGGCCCCAGGCGCUGUCCAACCCAGCACCGAAGAAACCUCUCUGAGUGUUGAUUGGACUGGGUUGUACAGACAGACCCGAGGGGGUUGGGGAAAGGGCCCAUGCAGCUGUUUCUAGGUCGCUGCAGAAGACAGAAGGAGAUUAUGCCAGGUCGGGCUGGGACCUGAAAUUUCCCCUAUUUCUUACAUAAUCUAUCUUUGUUCCAUACCUUUCCUUUUGCAAGGUACUUUCCCACAUAACAGUUCCCUUCAUCUUCAGGACACUCACGUAAGGUGGGCCACGGGGCUAUCACUCCCCUCAUUUUAUGGCGCUGAGGGACUGUCAAAGUCACACGGGGGAGAACGUCACACAAGCCCAAUUCAUCUGUGCCCUUGCUGCUCUGUCACGCAGCAUUGCCAGGGUUUGGCCUCAUUACUUUUGGGGGAUCUACUUGGUCUAGAAAAUGUGGGUGCAGCCCAAGGUCAUGUGGGCAUGUCAGGAGGUGGCCACAUAAGCCACGGGAUGCUGGAUAUGAAAUCCCCCCCCCCGCCCCCCACCUCGUUGAAACAGAUGGGCCCUUCCCGCAGGCUCUGGUUUAGGUAGCAAGAGGCUAGAAUCAUAAGCAAGGGGUAGUUGGAUGUGGAGGAGGGAGCCAUAGCCAGGGAGGGACAGAGAAUAACAGACCCGGGAGAGGAUUCCAGGGCCUUUUGGAUCCUGACCGGGUUUAUCAGGCCUGUCCCGAGUCUGAGCCCUGACUCCCCAAGGGGCCGCUGGGAGUUGGGCGCGCCAGGCCUCCGGGCUGACUCACUGCCUGGCGGCCGGUCUUGGAUCCUCUCCCUCCCACAUUCCCUCAGCCACUGCCCCUGUACUGGUGUUUACUCCUGGCUUUAUUUACCGAGGCUUAACCUCCUCGUUAGCCUCUUGCGUUAUCAGUUAUCACCGGGGGUUUUGCUAUGAGUGAUAACUACCUGCUCUGGUUCUUUGCUUCAGGAUUUUCUUUAAAAAAUGUUUUUUUGAAAAGAAAGUCGUUGGGAUGUUUACAAAAAAAACAAAGAGAAGGCAGGGUCCUGUCCUCUAGGCUUGGAGAGCGGUGGCCACCCAUCCCGCUCCUCCCCCGGAAAAGCCGGAAAAGCUUUUCCGUUCUGCAGGUGCAGCAGCCCUGGGUACCAAGGGCUGUUUAUCCCUCUGUUCUCCGCAGGGGCCACCCUCCCAGGAUUUCAAAGCACUUCCGGUGUCUCAGUUCUCAUGUUUGCCCCGGUGGAUGGAUCCCUGCUUUUCAGGUAUCAACUAUAAAUGUAAAGCCAGGGAGGUGUCUGACUGGCUCAGUCGGUAGAGCAUGUGACUCUUGAUCUCAGGGUUGUGAGUUCAAGCCCCACGUGGGGCAUGGAGGUCACUAAAAAUAAAUAA